rnacentral:sRNA from 17 species
GCAGGCUUAACCCCGCAUUAAGCUUUCCGAUCUAUUACUGGGGACGGUCCAGUUUUGGCCGCGAGUGGCUUCUGUCCACUCUGUUUGACGCAUCCCUGUCUAUGACUCAUCGAGCCGCCUUACGGGCGGCUCUUUUUUC